rnacentral:lncRNA from 1 species
AUGGCAGGCCUGAGGGCCUCAGCCAUGUCUAGCCCGAUCUUUAACUGCUGCCUGAGAGGAGACGCCAGAAGGGGAAGCACGAUAAUCUUUAAACCUUUUAAAAAACAAAAGAUGUCUUUGUCCUUGAUGGCUUCUCACCAACGUUAUUCCGAACAGUGCAGAUGGCAAGGCCUGGCGUUAAAACAAACCUUGAGCCACAAGAGAAGUUGCAUGGAAGUGGGCUCUGAAUCUGGAUCUGAUGCUUCUCAAGCCUUACACUUAGGGCUAAAGAAGCCUGAGUUCCCCUCACCUGAACAAGGCAGCACCCUUGUCCCAAUAUGA